rnacentral:rRNA from 1 species
GAUGAACGCUAGCUACAGGCUUAACACAUGCAAGUCGCGGGGCAGCAUGGGGGUUGCUUGCAAUCCCCGAUGGCGACCGGCGCACGGGUGAGUAACGCGUAUCCAACCUGCCCUUCACCACGGGAUAACCCGGCGAAAGUUGGACUAAUACCGUAUGUUUUCCAUUGACGGCAUCCGAUUUGGACGAAAGGCUUGGCGGUGAGGGAUGGGGAUGCGUCCGAUUAGCCAGACGGCGGGGUAACGGCCCACCGUGGCUACGAUCGGUAGGGGUUCUGAGAGGAAGGUCCCCCAGACUGGAACUGAGACACGGUCCAGACUCCUACGGGAGGCAGCAGUGAGGAAGAUUGGUCAAGGGGCGUAAGCCUGAACCAGCCAAGUAGCGUGCAGGAGGACGGCCCUAUGGGUUGUAAACUGCUUUUAUGCGGGGAUAAAGUGGCCCACGUGUGGGCUUUUGCAGGUACCGCAUGAAUAAGGACCGGCUAAUUCCGUG